ACCUGAAAGCAUUCCAAGAGGCUGACCCAGCAGCACUGGCACUCCAGCUGAGAGCCUGGCAGUCCCAGCCCUACAUUGCUGGGCAGAGGACACAGGCAUUUCUGAGGCACCCUGGACUCCUGCCAGUGGGUCCCCAGAUGCCAUGCAAGACACACCUGACCGAGGAAGCCAUCCUAGCCCCUUCAACCCCUCUACACAAUGAAGGAUGCCAGGGCAGACCAGCACGGAACAGGAAAAAA